GAUGAAGAACGUAGCGAAAUGCGAUAAGUAAUGUGAAUUGCAGAAUUCAGUGAAUCAUCGAAUCUUUGAACGCACAUUGCGCCCCCUGGUAUUCCGGGGGGCAUGCCUGUCCGAGCGUCAUUACAACCCUCAAGCUCAGCUUGGUAUUGGGCCCCGCCGACCCGGCGGGCCCUAAAGUCAGUGGCGGUGCCGUCCGGCUCCGAGCGUAGUAAUUCUUCUCGCUCUGGAGGUCCGGUCGUGUGCUCGCCAGCAACCCCCAAUUUUUUUCAGGUUGACCUCGGAUCAGGUAGGGAUACCCGCUGAACUUAAGCAUAUCAAUAAGCGGGGGA
rnacentral:misc_RNA from 1 species